ACCCCUCCGCAGGGGUGGGCAGCCUGUGGAAGGGCUUGUUUCGUCCCGCCACUUAGUGUUCUUCCUGAAUGGAAAGUAGCGUCGUCUGUUUAUAAAAAAAUAGGCCCUUAUUUUUUAUGCGACAGAUGGUAGGCUUUUAUGGAAACGUAUUUAAAAACUAUUGAUUGGCCAAACAAAAAAAUAAAAAUAAGGAACAGGGCCAAACUGAAGAGAAAGCAAAUUGAUUAAAACAUCUAAAAUAACUGGAAAACCACGACUUAGCCAAACACUGGUAACAUUUGACAUCCAAAACUCCGUAUCCCAUUAAUUUGAAUUAAAGCAAAAUAUUAAAUUAGUUGGGCCCGUGGUCGAAAGAUCGGCUACCGAGUAUCUAGUGAUUAGUUCCAAUCACCGGAUACUCGGUAGUCAACCUUUCUUUCCAGUCACCAGAUACUCGGUUAUAAAGAAACAGUCGAGUAUAUAAAAACAUAUUGGCAUUGGAUGGGUUAAUGCGUAUCCGGAGCAAGGUAACGAUGGCAGUGGCCACCUAGAAAACUUUCUUAUGAAGAUAAGAAAUGGUUCUUUUUAGGAUUAAGUUGGUAAAUUAAGCAAAGCGUGCCCAGACCGGGCCUAGUUAAAUAUCCGCUACCAGGUAAAAAUUGGUAUCCUCGGGCAGAAAUGGAAAAUAUUAAGCGGUGGAAAAUCAGAACUAUUUUUUGGGAUAUUAAGUAACUGUUGGGAAAUAAAGUCAACAUAUUUUCUUUUACGCUCAUUAAGUGGUUUUUCAAUAUCUUUCAAAAAAAAAGAAUCUCCACACAUUUAUUAAAGAUUUUUGUGCCGAUUACAUCCAGAACUCUGGAUAUAAUGGACGGUAAAGUGUCUACAUUACCACUAAAAGGAAGACGAUAAUUUCCCGUCUUAAUUUGGAAAUUGAAAUUUACUUCAGGUUUUGUUGUCUUACAGCUACCGAAAAUACGAUAGCGGUAGCCGACUCCAUUUUAAAUUUAAGAAAAAUCGUUUUUCACCAUAUACUGUGGGUGGAAUUCGAACAUUUUUCCGGUGUCGUCUAACCAAUUAUAACUGUAGAUUUUGUUAUAACGCCCUCCGGAGUUUUUAAACUUUUUAGCCACGUUGGCCAUUCCGUAAAUAGUACACCCACUUCUGUUCUUACGCUAUUUUAUUUAACUCCGAUUAGAAUAAAAAUUUCCUUCUCUUUUUGUACCAUUUGUUUCGAUUUAACACCAUCGACCCAAAUACUAUGAAAAAUUUAUGUUUUGGCAGCCGAGGCUCGGCAUUAUUCACCUCCAUCUCGCUGUUUUUUUUUAUUCUAAUUAGAAAAGAAAUUUCUAUAGCAAUUCCACUAAUUAUACUCAUAACUACCAUAGCCGAAGUUAUAAAAGUUGCGUUUUGACUUGGAUGAAAAAUAACUUUUUGAUGUUUAAUGAUAUAAAAAGAAUUAAUAAAAGUUCAAAUCGAAAUCUUGUUUCGCCUAAUUUUUGUAUUUAUCGAUAAGUCAGGCGUUAUUUUUGCUACGGUUUACCUUAGCGCCACACCGAGGAAAAUACGACCGAUGGAAAGACCGAUAGAAAGAAUUCGCGCUUCUGUCUGUGGCAGACUCGAGGAAAAUGAUAGUAUUUCUCCGCAGGCAGUAGCUAAACCGGUGCGCGCCGCCAUUUCGAAAACCUGUCCGGAAAGCCGAUGUAGUUUGACCACCAAUCUUUGGUACGAGAGAAUUGUCGAUUGGUAUUUUUUAAUCGUCAGUCGGCGGGAAAGCGAAUCUUCAAUUUCGAUUCACCUUUUAGAAAAAAUCAUACAUUAAAGAUAAGCCUUCCACAGAUCCACGAUUAAACCUCCAAUCGGCAAUUCCGUGGUGUUAAUGAUUCUUUCCAAAAGCUACCGCGUCUGGGAUUUCAAAAUGGCGGCGCCUACCGAUUUAGAUACGUGGAGAAUUAUUAUAAUUUCUCUAGGCCUAAUCGUUUCUUUAUCCGUAUUUUAUUUUAUAUUCUAGAAAAUAUGAAAGUCUAAAAGAAUUGUAAUCUGUCGGAGGAUGUACAGUAUUAAUACGUAUACUAUAUUUUGCUUUUAAUUUUUUUCUGUAUUAAUUUUUAUUUUAAGUG
rnacentral:lncRNA from 1 species